CGGGGCUGGCCGGAGGGGGUCGUUCCGGGAGUCCUCGGGGAUCCUGAAUCCCCACCGGGUGCUCUUUACCAACUCAGUGACCUUGCUGCCCUCAGAGAGCUUGCAGUCAAGUGAAGGGAUCGCCAGAAACGAUACUGCAGGUCACUCAGCCUGUGACAUUCACCCAUAGCAACAGACUGUGGACCAAGAGGAGAACCCAGAAGCACCCAGAUGUCUGAAGUUUUAAUGUGGAAAACAGG